rnacentral:lncRNA from 1 species
AUGGAAACUCUUCUCGUCUUAGGGCUCAUGAGCAGAGUGCUGGGAAAGGAGAGGAAGGCUGGCUUGCUCAGGGGCACCAGGUACCUCACAAAGGGCUUAAGCAGUCAGUGGAGAGUUCAGGCUGGUGGGUCCUGGAGUGUCCUGAGCAGAAAGCCAUGUGUCCUGAGUGACUCUGGCACCCGCCCUGACCAGUCUCGCCUCCUCCCUCCCUUCCUUCUCACAGAGCCUGGCCCCUGCUCCCAGCACUGCAGCCUUCUGUUUUCCCGCAGCAAGGACAAUUUCAGCUUCUCCAUACCUAUCCCUAAGGACCCCUGUCUUGGGGCGGGGUUCUCUGAGUGUCCACGUGGACAGGACUGUCCCAGAUGCCUCCUUCCAAGGUUGGGGCUGAGUCACGGAAUGGGGGCCCUGGAGGUGGGCCAGGAAGCUCAUCAACCAGAGCAGGGGCCAAGGCCUCCAGGAAGUGGUGCAUGAGAGAGGCUCCCUGUCUGAGACUGUGCCCUUGGGUUCUGUUGCAGCAGCACGUCAUGGAAACUUUGGCACACCCUGGGCAGAGCCUGGCCGGGGAAUUUCACUCUCCGUUAUCCUGUUAAAUGUAAUGCCAAGGAACAGCCAAGUCAGAGGCAAGCUCCUACCUUCCAGCGUCCAGCUCCUUCCAGCACCCCCUGCUGGCAAAGUGGGAGUGUGGCAGGCAGUGUCGCUGCCAGAAGCUGUGCACCAGUGGGGUGUGGAGCUGAGCCUGGUUCACCACCAGCAGUGAGAGUAGCAAAGGGAAAGUCACUGAAUUGGACGGCCUGGGUCGCGGUGGGGCAGGCAGCUCCUGUAGGAGCACUUGCGCCCGGCACGUCGUCUUCAAGGUCAGUGCAGGUCCUGACAGGAAGACAUCUACCUCGCCUCUCUGGCGGGCGGUGACUCAGACCAGCAGGAGGAAGGAAGAUUUUCUCCCCGCCCGGCAGCAGCACAGCCAAUGAAAAGCCACCUCGGUGUGAACUCCCAGUUUCCUCCAGUGGACGUUUGGUUCAUAACGGCCCCUCCCCUCUCCCCUUCUCCUCUGCAAAAGCGGUUCGUCUUUGGUUUUCUAGACGUGCAGUGCGUAUAGCUCACCAGAGCUGCGUUCUUUGCCAAUCCCAAAUUGCGAUCCUUUGCUGUUCCCGAAUAAACCCAUUUGGCUGGUAAAUAAUGGCUGCUUU